AAAAUAAAUGUUAUGACCAAAUAACUAUUACAACAACAACAAAGAGGAAGUAAAGCAAAACUUUCUAUUGCAUGACCGACCGGACAACAAGUGUGUUCUGCAAUGAAAAGAACAAGAGAAAUGGAAAACAAAAACUAUGUGAAACAACACCCCCAUCCAUUCUAUAAAGAGUUCAGUGGUGAUACAGAUCGACGACGGCGGUGAGCGUUUCCGACGGCGUCCAUUUGAGACCCAAUAGGGAACUGUAACAUGUUUGCAGGGGUUUUUAAACAAUGUUGUUAUUCAGAAUUAAAAAUAAACAAGGAACUAUAAAUAAGAAAUAUAUUUACCAUAAACAACCAAACAAAAAAUGCUUCCAUUGGAUCUUAAAUUACGCUGUUUACACAGCAUCAUUAGCCAUAUAAACUAACAUGAUUGAUAAAUUCAUACUUUUUGUUUUCUCGAGUUUAUGGAAAUUUGAAUCAAAGGACAUGUAAUAUGUAUAAAAAUAAAUAGAAAACAUAA